UACGUAGGUGGCAAGCGUUGUCCGGAUUUACUGGGUGUAAAGGGCGUGCAGCCGGGAGCCCAAGUCAGAUGUGAAAUCCCGCGGCUUAACCGCGGAACUGCAUUUGAAACUGAUUUUCUUGAGUACUGGAGAGGAAAGUGGAAUUCCUAGUGUAGCGGUGAAAUGCGUAGAUAUAUGGAAGAACACCAGUGGCGAAGGCGGCCGUCUGGUCUGCAACUGACGCUGAGGCACGAAAGCGUGGGGAUCGAACAGG
rnacentral:rRNA from 1 species